AUUGAACGCUGGCGGCAUGCCUUACACAUGCAAGUCGAACGGUAACGGGCCUUCGGGUGCCGACGAGUGGCGAACGGGUGAGUAAUGUAUCGGAACGUACCUUUCAGUGGGGGAUAACGUAGCGAAAGUUACGCUAAUACCGCAUAUUCUGUGAGCAGGAAAGCAGGGGAUCGCAAGACCUUGCGCUGAUUGAGCGGCCGAUAUCAGAUUAGCUAGUUGGUGAGGUAAAGGCUCACCAAGGCGACGAUCUGUAGCGGGUCUGAGAGGAUGAUCCUCCACACUGGAACGGAGACACGGUCCAGACUCCUACGGGAGGCAGCAGUGGGGAAUUUUGGACAAUGGGGGCAACCCUGAUCCAGCCAUGCCGCGUGAGUGAAGAAGGCCUUCGGGUUGUAAAGCUCUUUCGGCCGGGAAGAAAUCGUAUGGGUUAAUACCCUGUGCGGAUGACGGUACCGGCAUAAGAAGCACCGGCUAACUACGUGCCAGCCGCCGCGGUAAAAC
rnacentral:rRNA from 1 species